rnacentral:rRNA from 1 species
GACGAACGCUGGCGGCGUGCUUAACACAUGCAAGUCGAACGGAAAGGCCCUGCUUUUGUGGGGUGCUCGAGUGGCGAACGGGUGAGUAACACGUGAGUUACCUGCCCUUGACUUUGGGAUAACUUCAGGAAACUGGGGCUAAUACCGGAUAGGAGCUCCUGCUGCAUGGUGGGGGUUGGAAAGUUUCGGCGGUUGGGGAUGGACUCGCGGCUUAUCAGCUUGUUGGUGGGGUAGUGGCUUACCAAGGCUUUGACGGGUAGCCGGCCUGAGAGGGUGACCGGCCACAUUGGGACUGAGAUACGGCACAGACUCCUACGGGAGGCAGCAGUGGGGAAUAGUGCACAAUGGGCGGAAGCCUGAUGCAGCAACGCCGCGUGCGGGAUGACGGCCUUCGGGUUGUAAACCGCUUUCGCCUGUGACGAAGCGUGAGUGACGGUAAUGGGUAAAGAAGCACCGGCUAACUACGUG